UACGUAGGGUGCAAGCGUUGUCCGGAAUUAUUGGGCGUAAAGAGCUCGUAGGCGGCUUGGCAAGUCGGGUGUGAAACCUCCAGGCUCAACCUGGAGACGCCACUCGAUACUGCUAUGGCUAGAGUCCGGUAGGGGACCACGGAAUUCCUGGUGUAGCGGUGAAAUGCGCAGAUAUCAGGAGGAACACCGGUGGCGAAGGCGGUGGUCUGGGCCGGCACUGACGCUGAGGAGCGAAAGCGUGGGGAGCGAACAGG
rnacentral:rRNA from 1 species